UUACGGCCAUAUCACGUUGAAACACCAGUUCUAGUCAGAUCACCGAAGUUAAGCAACGUCGAAACUGGUCAGUACCUAGAUGGGUGACCACGUGGGAUACCAGGUACUGUAAU